rnacentral:sRNA from 1 species
UGCGUUUCCCGUCCUUUUGGCUAAGAUCAAGUGUAGUAUCUGUUGUCUAAUAUCUGAUACUUAAAUGUUUUAAAGGGUAGGGCCCACCAUGGUAGCUUACAAUUGCCAAUUCGGGCUCUCGGGCGUUGCCCUGGUUUUGCACUGAAUAUUAAUAGAUGAUGAUUAAUUA